rnacentral:rRNA from 1 species
GAUGAACGCUGGCGGCGUGCCUAAUACAUGCAAGUCGAGCGAACGGACGAGAAGCUUGCUUCUCUGACGUUAGCGGCGGACGGGUGAGUAACACGUGGAUAACCUACCUAUAAGACUGGGAUAACUUCGGGAAACCGGAGCUAAUACCGGAUAAUAUAUUGAACCGCAUGGUUCAAUAGUGAAAGACGGUUUUGCUGUCACUUAUAGAUGGAUCCGCGCUGCAUUAGCUAGUUGGUAAGGUAACGGCUUACCAAGGCAACGAUGCGUAGCCGACCUGAGAGGGUGAUCGGCCACACUGGAACUGAGACACGGUCCAGACUCCUACGGGAGGCAGCAGUAGGGAAUCUUCCGCAAUGGGCGAAAGCCUGACGGAGCAACGCCGCGUGAGUGAUGAAGGUCUUCGGAUCGUAAAACUCUGUUAUUAGGGAAGAACAUAUGUGUAAGUAACUGUGCACAUCUUGACGGUACCUAAUCAGAAAGCCACGGCUAACUACGUG